CGCCCAGCUAUGUCUGUCUGACCCAGCUGUACUCUCUGGACAUAAAAAGCAGAAAGUGCGACUGGAUCGGAUCGGUAUGGUUGGGAU
rnacentral:pre_miRNA from 1 species